rnacentral:rRNA from 1 species
GACGAACGCUGGCGGCGUGCUUAACACAUGCAAGUCGAACGGAAAGGCCCUGCUUUUGUGGGGUGCUCGAGUGGCGAACGGGUGAGUAACACGUGAGUAACCUGCCCUUGACUUUGGGAUAACUUCAGGAAACUGGGGCUAAUACCGGAUAGGAGCUCCUGCUGCAUGGUGGGGGUUGGAAAGUUUCGGCGGUUGGGGAUGGACUCGCGGCUUAUCAGCUUGUUGGUGGGGUAGUGGCUUACCAAGGCUUUGACGGGUAGCCGGCCUGAGAGGGUGACCGGCCACAUUGGGACUGAGAUACGGCCCAGACUCCUACGGGAGGCCGCAGUGGGGCAUAUUGCACAAUGGGCGGCAGCCUGAUGCAGCAACGCCGCGUGCGGGAUGACGGCCUUCGGGUUGUAAACCGCUUUCGCCUGUGACGAAGCGUGAGUGACGGUAAUGGGUAAAGAAGCACCGGCUAACUACGUG